rnacentral:rRNA from 1 species
GAUGAACGCUGUCUACAGGCUUAACACAUGCAAGUCGAGGGGAAACGACGGGGAAGCUUGCUUCCCCGGGCGUCGACCGGCGCACGGGUGAGUAACGCGUAUCCAACCUGCCUCUGACUGAGGGAUAACCCGUCGAAAGUCGGCCUAGUACCUCAUGGCAUCGUCUGCGGGCAUCCAACGACGAUUAAAGAUUUCAUCGGUCAGGGAUGGGGAUGCGUCUGAUGAGCUUGUUGGCGGGGUAACGGCCCACCAAGGCUACGAUCAGUAGGGGUUCUGAGAGGAAGGUCCCCCACAUUGGAACUGAGACACGGUCCAAACUCCUACGGGAGGCAGCAGUGAGGAAUAUUGGUCAAUGGGCGGGAGCCUGAACCAGCCAAGUAGCGUGCAGGAUGACGGCCCUAUGGGUUGUAAACUGCUUUUAGGCGGGGAUAAAGUGAGGGACGUGUCCUUCAUUGCAGGUACCGCAUGAAUAAGGACCGGCUAAUUCCGUG